rnacentral:rRNA from 1 species
GAUGAACGCUGGCGGCGUGCCUAAUACAUGCAAGUCGAGCGAACGGACGAGAAGCUUGCUUUUCUGAUGUUAGCGGCGGACGGGUGAGUAACACGUGGAUAACCUACCUAUAAGACUGGGAUAACUUCGGGAAACCGGAGCUAAUACCGGAUAAUAUUUUGAACCGCAUGGUUCAAAAGUGAAAGACGGUCUUGCUGUCACUUAUAGAUGGAUCCGCGCUGCAUUAGCUAGUUGGUAAGGUAACGGCUUACCAAGGCAACGAUGCAUAGCCGACCUGAGAGGGUGAUCGGCCACACUGGAACUGAGACACGGACCAGACUCCUACGGGAGGCAGCAGUAGGGAAUCUUCCGCAAUGGGCGAAAGCCUGACGGAGCAACGCCGCGUGAGUGAUGAAGGUCUUCGGAUCGUAAAACUCUGUUAUUAGGGAAGAACAUAUGUGUAAGUAACUGUGCACAGCUUGACGGUACCGAAUCAGAAAGCCACGGCUAACUACGUG